AACGCACAUUGCGCCCCUCGGUAUUCCGAGGGGCAUAUCUGUUCGAGCGUCAUUAACACCUUCAAGCCUGUGCUUGGUUGUGGGCGGUCGCCUUCCCCCGGGUGGGCGUGCCCGAAAAACAUUGGCGGUCCGGCGUGGAUUCGAGCGUAGUAAAUGUUUCCCGCUUGGAGAAAACGCCCGGGUCGGCCAGCAACCCAACCCUUUUAAGAAUUGACCUCGGAUCAGAUAAGGAUACCCGCUGAACUUAA
rnacentral:misc_RNA from 1 species